GCNAGAGUGACGUAAGUGCGUACACGUUAGAUCUGCCCUCACAGAGAAUAGCUCGGGGACUCGAAUUACUCUCAUAGAAAGUGGUGUGGCAUCACACAGUUUUAAAUCUACGGAGGUUGAGAUGACAUGCGCAUGAUUAGCUAGUUGGCGGGGUAAGCACCAGCGAUGAUCAUUAGGGAACUGAGAGGUUGAUCCCCCACACUGGCACUGAGAUACGGGCCAGACUCCUACGGGAGGCAGAGUAGGAAUAUUGGACAAUGGGUGCAAGCCUGAUCCACCAUGCCGCGUGCAGGAAGAAGGCCUUCUGGGUUGUAAACUGCUUUUGCCAGGGGAUAAAACGACCGUGCGCGGUUAAUUGAAGGUACCUGGUGAAUAAGCCACGGCUAACUACGUGCCAGCAGCCGCGGUAAUACGUAGGUGGCAAGCGUUGUCCGGAUUUAUUGGGUUUAAAGGGUGCGUAGCGGUCUGUUAAGUCAGUGGUGAAAUACGGCAGCUCAACUGUCGGAGGUGCCAUUGAUACUGGCGGACUUGGAGUACUGAUGAGGUAGCGGAAAUGGACCGGUGUACGGUAAAUGCUUAAUUUCGUCCAAAAACACCCGA
rnacentral:rRNA from 1 species